rnacentral:rRNA from 1 species
UACAGGGGGUGCAAACGUUGCUCGGAAUCAUUGGGCGUAAAGCGCACGUAGGCGGUUCGUUAUGUCGGAUGUGAAAGCCCUUGGCUUAACCGAGGAAGUGCAUCCGAAACUGGCGAGCUAGAGUACGAAAGAGGAUCGCGGAAUUCCCGGUGUAGAGGUGAAAUUCGUAGAUAUCGGGAGGAACACCGGUGGCGAAGGCGGCGAUCUGGGUCGAUGCUGACGCUGAGGUGCGAAAGCGUGGGGAGCAAACAGG